GAGAUCCUGAGCUGUACGAAAAACUUAUUUUGUUCAACUGACAAACUGAAAUAGGGAUCGCCGAAAUUCAUGUGGAUGGCAAGCUCUCAGUGAAGAGAAGGCAGAAGUAUGAUGAGGAGAGCCCACCUGCUUAAUGUGGCGGGUAUGAACAACGUAAGUUACCGGCAGAUUUGGGAUAGAU
rnacentral:other from 1 species